GAGAUCGGGAUAACACCUGGAAACAGAUGCUAAUACCGGAUAACAACAGAUGAUGCCUAUCAACUGUUUAAAAGAUGGUUCUGCUAUCACUCUUGGAUGGACUUGCGGUGCAUUAGCUAGUUGGUAGGGUAACGGCCUACCAAGGCGAUGAUGCAUAGCCGAGUUGAGAGACUGAUCGGCCACAUUGGGACUGAGACACGGCCUAAACUCCUACGGGAGGCAGCAGCC
rnacentral:rRNA from 1 species